rfam:Ciona savignyi cont_28413, whole genome shotgun sequence.
GGUAGCAUGGCCAAGCGGUCUAAGGCGCUAGUUUAAGGCACCAGUCAUUUCGAUGGCGUGGGUUCGAAUCCCACUGCUGCCA